ensembl:rRNA 5S_rRNA 5S ribosomal RNA
AUCUGUGGCCAUACCACCCUGAACGCGCCCGAUCUCGUCUGAUCUUGGAAGCAAAGCAGGGUCGGGCCUGGUUAGUACUUGGAUGGGAGACCGCCUGGAAAUACCGGGUGCCGCAGGCU